rnacentral:rRNA from 1 species
GAGUUAUCUGAACCUUCGGGGAACGAUAACGGCGUCGAGCGGCGGACGGGUGAGUAAUGCCUAGGAAAUUGCCCUGGUGUGGGGGAUAACCAUUGGAAACGAUGGCUAAUACCGCAUAAUACCUACGGGUCAAAGAGGGGGACCUUCGGGCCUCUCGCGUCAGGAUAUGCCUAGGUGGGAUUAGCUAGUUGGUGAGGUAAUGGCUCACCAAGGCGACGAUCCCUAGCUGGUCUGAGAGGAUGAUCAGCCACACUGGAACUGAGACACGGUCCAGACUCCUACGGGAGGCAGCAGUGGGGAAUAUUGCACAAUGGGCGCAAGCCUGAUGCAGCCAUGCCGCGUGUGUGAAGAAGGCCUUCGGGUUGUAAAGCACUUUCAGUCGUGAGGAAGGUAGUGUAGUUAAUAGCUGCAUUAUUUGACGUUAGCGACAGAAGAAGCACCGGCUAACUCCGUGCCAGCAGCCGCGGUAAUACGGAGGUGCGAGCGUUAAUCGGAAUUACUGGGCGUAAAGCGCAUGCAGGUGGUUUGUUAAGUCAGAUGUGAAAGCCCGGGGCUCAACCUCGGAAUAGCAUUUGAAACUGGCAGACUAGAGUACUGAGAGGGGGGGUAGAAUUUC